GACGAACGCUGGCGGCGCGCCUAACACAUGCAAGUCGAACGGAGUCAAGAGGAGCUUGCUUUUCUUGACUUAGUGGCGAACGGGUGAGUAACGCGUGAGUAACCUGCCCUGGAGUGGGGGACAACAGUUGGAAACGACUGCUAAUACCGCAUAAGCCCACGGAUCUGCAUGGAUCUGCGGGAAAAGGAUUUAUUCGCUCUAGGAUGGACUCGCGUCCAAUUAGCUAGUUGGUGAGGUAACGGCCCACCAUGGCGGCGAUUGGUAGCCGGACUGAGAGGUUGAACGGCCACAUUGGGAAUGAGACACGGCCCAGACUCCUACGGGAGGCAGCAGAGGGGGAUAUUGCACAAGGGGGGAAACCCUGAUGCAGCGACGCCGCGUGGAGGAAGAAGGUUUUCGGAUUGUAAACUCCUGUCGUUAGGGACGAUAAUGACGGUACCUAACAAGAAAGCACCAGCUAACUACGUG
rnacentral:rRNA from 1 species